UACGUAGGGUGCGAGCGUUAAUCGGAAUUACUGGGCGUAAAGCGUGCGCAGGCGGUCUUGUAAGUCAGAUGUGAAAUCCCCGGGCUUAACCUGGGAACUGCGUUUGAAACUACAAGGCUAGAGUGUGGCAGAGGGGGGUGGAAUUCCACGUGUAGCAGUGAAAUGCGUAGAGAUGUGGAGGAACACCGAUGGCGAAGGCAGCCCCCUGGGUUAACACUGACGCCCAGGCACGAAAGCGUGGGGAGCAAACAGG
rnacentral:rRNA from 1 species